GGAUCCAGACUUUGAUCAUGGCUCAGGACGAACGCUGGCGGCGUGCCUAACACAUGCAAGUCGAACGAAGCACUGCGGAAAGAGACUUCGGUCAAUGGAAGCUUUGACUUAGUGGCGGACGGGUGAGUAACGCGUGAGGAACCUGCCUUUCAGUGGGGGACAACAGUUGGAAACGACUGCUAAUACCGCAUAAUGUGUUUUGGGGGCAUCCCCGGAACACCAAAGAUUUAUUGCUGAAAGAUGGCCUCGCGUCUGAUUAGAUAGUUGGUGGGGUAACGGCCUACCAAGUCGACGAUCAGUAGCCGGACUGAGAGGUUGAACGGCCACAUUGGGACUGAGAUACGGCCCAGACUCCUACGGGAGGCAGCAGUGGGGAAUAUUGGGCAAUGGGGGAAACCCUGACCCAGCAACGCCGCGUGAAGGAAGAAGGCUUUCGGGUUGUAAACUUCUUUUACCAGGGACGAAGGACGUGACGGUACCUGGAGAAAAAGCCACGGCUAACUACGUGCCAGCAGCCGCGGUAAUACGUAGGUGGCAAGCGUUGUCCGGAUUUACCGGGUGUAAAGGGCGUGUAGGCGGGAGAGCA
rnacentral:rRNA from 1 species